rnacentral:lncRNA from 10 species
GGACCAGAGUCAUGGGAGCAGUGAUGGCCUGUAUCCUUGUCCUGAGCCUGACUUGAAAGGCAGUGCCUCUAGUUUCCCCACUCCACACAAUGUUUGUUGGUUAAUGACAGUGUGGUAUAAUGUAUUUAAUCUUCAAGGUAAUACCAUUGUAAUAGGCUGUGGAAAUUCAUUGAGGUUAUCUUUGUGGCCUAAUAAAUGCUCCAUUUUUAAAUGUCCCAUAGAUGUUUAAAAAUAAUUUCUAUGCUCUGUUAGGAAAUUUAUUUUUUAUGUAUCUAUUUGGUCAAGCUUUUCAGUUGUGUAUUCAAAUUCUCAUUUGUUUCAUAUGUUGUAUUAUUGGUCAGUUUCUAAAAUUGUGUUAAUGGUUCCUGUAAUCAUUGUGGAUUUGUCCACUUCCCCUUGUAUUUAUAACAGCUUUUGUUGUAUUUCAACCUGUCGGUAAGGGAAUAAAAUUC